rnacentral:lncRNA from 1 species
UAUCUCAUGACGUCACCACAACAACACACCUGCCGAGCUCUUGGUCAGUUGUGGGAUGGUAACAGCAGGUGUGUGAUACAACUCUCCAUCACUUUAAGGAAGAAUAAAGAUCAGAGAAGAAGAUGGAAAGGCUUCAUAAAUGAUCAAUUAUGAAGGUUGUUGGAGGGAGAGAACUACUACCAUUACUUUACCAAGAAGACUUAUAAAAGGAUUAACAAUUGAUCAAUACCACAACGGCCAGAUGUUACAACAAAACAUUGGGAAAUUGAACUGCUCCACCAUGGCUGAAAAUGGUAACUGGUGUAUGGAACAAGAGCUGUCACCAUGACACUGGCACCGUGGCACUGUACCACAUAUAACAAGGUGACACUGGCACCGUGGCACUGUACCACAUAUAACAAGAUGAGUUAACAACUAAACCUUGAGAAACUAACAUGUGGAUCAUGGAGACACUGCUGUUACAGGUGUGUCUUUCUGUAUGUUGUAUUUAUCCAUAUCUCUAUUUUUCUAUAUAUGUCCAACUGUU